AAAUGUUACAAAUAUGGCUGCUUUGUGUUCUUGUUAUUUGCUUGCCGUAUUUAAAUGUGAAUCAUUACUAAAAGCUCUACAAAAUGUAAGCAUGAUAAAUGAAAUAAGAGCAUAAUAGCCCAGUGCGCUGAAAAUAUUUGACUACUAAGCGAGAACAACGGAUUCUGUGAUGUCGUUCGACAAAGCACCUGAAAUAAAGAGCAGAGAGAUCGAUAAAAUCAAACGUCGUCAUAAAAUUGACGACACUGCUUUUGCAACAGUGUAUAAAGGCAGCGAAGAUACAUCCCAGUACACGAAAAUGGAUACAACAGACGAGAAUGCCGGCAAACCUACCGAAUUAUGCCUGCAAGGGAACUCUCAUCUCAUAUCUAGCACAACUAGCAGUCUGGCAGAUACGCCUGGUGAUUCUGGUGUUUUAUGCUUGGACAGUGAAGCUUCCGAGGCGACUAGCCAGGCUCUCAUGUCGCACAGUCUCAUCGGAGCGGAAGAACUCACUUGUGAUAGUAUUUACGAUGCAGCUCCCUCAGGUUCGCAGGAUAUGAUAAAGAGUACCAACAGCAGUAUUAUGACUCGUAGUGAUAUAGAUAACCAAAAUUUAGGCGGUCCAGACGAUAUUGUCCCAGAGCUUCUUGUUGAAGCGCAAAAAAAACCUGUGUAUGAAAACUUACCAGAUGUUGUGUUGAAGGCUUUAGAAAGUGAGAAAGUUUGUACAGCGGAAACUAAAAAGUCUGCAUUGAGGACGUCAGAACCCAAGAAAUCGUUAUCAGAAGAUAUUGUGUACAGGAGGAGGUGUCGAAAAAAGUCUCAAAGUGGACCUAGUUCUCAGAAAAAAAGGGUAUCCUUUCAUGAAGAUAUUUUAAAUAAUACUAGAACAGACAAUAUUCAUAUAGAGCGAGGUUUUACAUCAUAUGGCCCUGACAGCUCUUACUGUGAUAGGUUUAGGCAGAAAAAUGCUACUAAUGAUAGGUUUUCAUGGUCCUCUGGCGAUAAAACACCAAAAUAUGCAGCAGACGUGGCCCAGCAAACAAUGUCUGAUAUACUUACUUAUGGAGACUCGAAACAUGAUAGAAGUGGAAUAUUUGAGUAUUGUCCAGUUUAUAGGCAGAGUAAUGAAGACAAUAAAGACAGAGACAACAAUAAUGAACCGAAACCCAAUGGAAAACUUUAUGACUGUGACUCUAACAGCUCAGAUUCCAAUUUCAGUUGUGAUUCUGAGUCAUCCUCUAGUGAAUCCCUAUCCUCACACUCAAACGAAACUGAAACCAUACACAAGAAAACUGAUAAAACACAAAAAUCAUACUCCUGUGAUGGAUUUGAAAAUAAUAAUCAUGUUUCCUUCAUAAGAAAAACAUAUUUCUCUGAAGCUGAUAUUGAUCAAUCCCACGAUCGAAAAAAUAAACCUCUUGAAGUAACACAGAGUCCCAUAGCAGUCAAAUCUGUCCUUAAGAAAAAGAGAUACAUCACAACCAAUGUUGUUGAAGAAAGGAAGAACAAUAAUAAAGUUUUAAAUCUAUUAGAUGCAAAUAAUCUUAUAGACUCUUUAAAGAAUUUCUAUAAGAAUUUCAACUUCAAUUUUGCACCUGAAAAAGGCUUGGCGGAAACCACUUUUGAAUUAAAUAAUGUAGUUGAAGCAUUGCCCUGUGAUGUUAAUCAAAAUAAGAAGCUUUCAAAAAGUUUAGAUUCAGGAUUUCAUAUGGAUGAUGAAGAUGACUUUGUGGAAAUCAAUUUGAACUCCCAACCGUUGGAUGCAGAAAAGCCUAAAGAAUUAACAUCAGGAUCUUUGAACCCUGUUGCAGGAGACAGAACGCCUAAUGAAGGAUCACCUCGGCACAAACUAACACUUAACAUGAGAAAUACAAAUGACAAAAAGCUUGUAAAUAGAGAUGUUUUACCCCCACUCAGCAAAUAUGUUGUAAACUGUGAAAGCACAGUGUAUGAGCACAAAGGUGUAUCUUACAGCUACGUCCAUGAUACAUUCCAAACAGCUUUUGAAGCACCGAAAGAAACUUUUGUACCCAUUCCAGAAUCAACACCAGUAAAAGAGCUAAUAACAUCUUCAAGCAAACAGGAUCUAAGCUCAAAACAGUCUGAAGUCGACAACUCUAGUCGGACAUCCACACCAAAGCGUCAAUUCAAUAAAAACGUACAAGAUGAAGCUGAUCAGAAGAAUGGUCUCUCAAAACAUUUGUCGUCGCCCAAGAAGCAGAACGUUAACAGAUACAGUCGCAAAUCAGCGUCAACAGUGCAACAGAAAAGUGAUGAAGCGCCACAACCAAUUAGCGAUAAUUGUUCUAACACAGACAACUCAACCUUGAAAGGCGCAGAUGAUUUCAACGACGAGUUUUUCGACAGUCCCUCCUUACAGAAAUUACAAACUAACAAAUCUGCUCUACUGAGCAGGUAUCUUAAAAAUGUUUGCCAAAGGAAAGACUUGGAACUUAAGAUAAAGAAUAACAAGUUCUUUCAAUUCAAAAUACGAAUGGAGAGAGAGUUUCCUAGCAUCGUGUAUCCUUUCAAAGACGUGGCGGAAACAUUUCACAUUUCCGCGGCGAGAAUGUCCCGUCUCAUUGACAAAGAAGUGAUAGAGAACAAAAGACUGUCUGUCCGACUGCUGACAGCCGACGAGCCGUCGUACUUCGACAGUUUUGAGGACAACGUCGCUAUAGAAUGCAAUGAAAAGCUGAGACUUCAAAUAUUCUCCUACCCAAAUGAAACUUUAAAUAGGAUGAUGAAGGUCCAGUCACCAUACAACAUGGAAGAUGGCUCGUGGACCCCUCUCCUGGUUUUCAUCACCGACUAUGCGCUCUACGUAGCAAGCGUAAGGCCUGGCGGUACAGAGUACGAAAUACUUUGCAGACUACCGCAUAACGAAUUAGACGCUGUAGUGGUCGGUCCAGAAGCACAAUACAUCCAAGUGAUAGACAUAGCCGGCAAUAUUGCCUGCUCUGUCGUAACCGGCGAGUCUACCCUCGGUGCAAGAUUAGCAUCCUCUCUGGAGUGGAGCGCAAGAAUAUCGCCGCUUCGUAUCCAACGUCCACCUGCAAUGUUGCCGCUAAAUUGCCGACAUCUUGCUUCUGCGGUGACUAGACAGAGGCACGAGAAAAGGGUACCGCCAAUACUGUUCUAUGGUCGAGCCUGUUCUGGCGACGCUGAAGACAGACUCGUCGAAGCACCUGGCGCCUUCGCCCCGCCACUUGAGGGCUACUUGAUGUGCAAGACUGAGAAGAGCAAACGCUUUGAGCCCUGCUAUUUCUUACUCAGGGCUGGGAUCCUCCACUGGGGUCCGCAUACACCUGACGGUACCCCUCUACCUAACAACAUCUCCUUACGCUCAGUAGUAGGAGUCAGAAGACACGUGGAUUCUUCUAGAAGACCACAUUGCUUCGAGAUAGCAUUGGGUGACUCUAGCAGAUUGCUGCUGGCAGCGCCUGAUGACCCUACGGCGUCAUCCUGGUUACAGUCUUUACUUUUACACGCAGCCCAGGCCUUAGAAGAAAAGGAUGGCGCAAAGAAGUCUGACCUUCGUACUAGAGGGCCUCCACCAGCCUGUACUGUACUGGUGACUCCAUUCGAAGUGAUCAGUUUGCGAGACACGCUGGACUUGGCUUUUGUCGCGGGCGCCGCUGCCUAUCUCAAGGAUAGAGGCUCUGAUGCCUUGCUCAAAGAAUACAUCGAAGAGAUGAGGACGGACAUUGAAAUAUUGGCGUGUGGGUCCAUCAAGAAUUUGACAGCCUUCAAGAUCCCCGAUACCGAUGAAAAUUGGUGUUGUUUGGAGUGGAGCGUUUGCGAGGCGCGCGAGCGCGGCGCGGGGCUGGCGCUAGUGUUGUCCAGCAGCUCGGAGCUCGAGAGGCUCAUCGCUGCGCUCGAACAGGCGUACGCGCAUCUCACUCACGAGCCUUUCCCGCUAAGCGUGGUGGAAGCGUCGAAGUCUGCCUGCAGCGCCGCGCACUCCAAAUACGAGUCCGCCUGGUCUCACAUGUUACCGCAACAGUAAAUACUAUACUAUAUUAAUAACUACUCGUUUUAAACAUAGUCUGUCUCGUAAAUAAUAGUUAAGCUCAUUAGAUGAAGACCUACUCAUAGCGUAAUGGCGGAAAUAAACCAUCGGAUGUGUCCGUAAGCCGCGGCUGACAACGUGACAGUAAUUGUGCACAGUUGUUUUGGAUGCGGCUUGCCAGAAUUCUAUCGGACGUCCGAGCGAUCAAGGACGGGCCAAGGUUACGUCCGCUACUAACAUCCGAUAGUUUUCACAGUUCAUUGUACUUUUCAUUAUCCAGAUACCUAUAAGUCGCGGCGGCACCGGCGUCCGAUAAUUUGCUUCCGGCCUUGAAUUAAUAAUAAGAAUGUUACCAACUAGUCAAAUCAGUAACUUUUUUUACUAAACGUCAAGUAAAACUCGCGCUCAAUAUGGGAGUUGUAUGAAAUAGUAAAUACUGAAAUGGUCCGUCAUAAAAAUUUGACGGGACAAUUUCAAUACAGUCUAAAGCCGCGAUUACACCUGUAAAUUUUACUCACGUAAGUAUAGCUUACGUAAUUAAUUGAC